UUAAAUGGCCGCAGUAAUUUGACUGUGCAAAGGUAGCAUAAUCAUUAGUUUUUUAAUUAAAAGCUAGAAUGAAUGGUUGGACGAAAUAAAAUCUGUCUCUAAUUAAUAGAUAAAAAUUAAUUUUUAAGUUAAAAAGCUUAAAUUAUUAUAAAAGACGAGAAGACCCUAUAGAUUUUUAUAUUAUAGAUUUUAAUUUUAAUUUAGAAAAUUUUAUUUAUUAUAAUCUAUGGUAUUUUAUUGGGGUAAUAGGGAGAUUAAAUUAAUUCUUUUUUUUAUAGUCAAUAAUUUUUGUUUUUUUGAUCCUUUAUUAAAGAUUAUAAGAUUAAAUUACCUUAGGGAUAACAGCGUAAUUUUUUUGGAGAGUUCUUAUCGAUAAAAAAGUUUGCGACCUCGAUGUUGGAUUAAAAAUUAUUUUAGGUGUAGUAGUUUGAAAAUUUGGUCUGUUCGACCAUUAAAUUUUUACAUGAUCUGAGUUCAGACCGGUGUAAGCCAGGUCGGUUUCUAUCUUUAUUGGGUUAAUAUAUUUUAGUACGAAAGGACCAAAUAUUGAAUAUAUAGAUAUUUUUAAGUUGAAUAAUAUUAUUAUUUUGGCAGAUUAGUGCAAUGAAUUUAGAAUUCAUUUAUGUAAGAUUUUACAGGUAAUAUUGUUUUAUUUAGAUUUAUUAAUUUUGUUUAUUAGAUUGUUAUUAUUAAUUAUUUGUGUAUUAGUAGGUGUUGCUUUUUUGACUUUA
rnacentral:rRNA from 1 species